UACGUAGGGGGCAAGCGUUGUCCGGAUUUAUUGGGCGUAAAGAGCGCGCAGGCGGUCGUUCAAGUCGAGUGUGAAAGCCCCCGGCUCAACUGGGGAGGGUCAUUCGAUACUGAUCGACUUGAAGGCAGGAGAGGGAAGUGGAAUUCCCGGUGUAGUGGUGAAAUGCGUAGAUAUCGGGAGGAACACCAGUGGCGAAGGCGACUUCCUGGCCUGUUCUUGACGCUGAGGCGCGAAAGCUAGGGGAGCAAACGGG
rnacentral:rRNA from 1 species